rnacentral:rRNA from 1 species
AUUGAACGCUGGCGGCAUGCUUUACACAUGCAAGUCGAACGGUAACAGGCCUUCGGGUGCUGACGAGUGGCGAACGGGCGAGUAAUGCACCGGAACGUAACCAGAGGUGGGGGAUAACGCAGCGAAAGCUGUGCUAAUACCGCAUGUGAUCUGAGGAUGAAAGCGGGGGACCGAGCAGCAAUGUUUGGCCUCGCGCCUUUGGAGCGGCCGAUGUCGGAUUAGCUAGUUGGUGGGGUAAAGGCCUACCAAGGCGACGAUCCGUAGCUGGUCUGAGAGGACGACCAGCCACACUGGGACUGAGACACGGCCCAGGCUCCUACGGGAGGCAGCAGUGGGGAAUUUUGGACAAUGGGCGCAAGCCUGAUCCAGCAAUGCCGCGUGCGGGAAGAAGGCCUUCGGGUUGUAAACCGCUUUUGGCAGGAACGAAACGGUGUCCGCUAAUACCGGGCGCUAAUGACGGUACCUGCAGAAUAAGCACCGGCUAACUACGUG